rnacentral:rRNA from 1 species
AGCGAACGCUGGCGGCAGGCCUAACACAUGCAAGUCGAACGAAGUCUUCGGACUUAGUGGCGGACGGGUGAGUAACACGUGGGAACGUACCUUUUGGUUCGGAACAACUCAGGGAAACUUGAGCUAAUACCGGAUGAGCCCUUCGGGGGAAAGAUUUAUCGCCGAAAGAGCGGCCCGCGUUAGAUUAGCUAGUUGGUGAGGUAAAGGCUCACCAAGGCUACGAUCUAUAGCUGGUCUGAGAGGAUGAUCAGCCACACUGGGACUGAGACACGGCCCAGACUCCUACGGGAGGCAGCAGUGGGGAAUCUUGCGCAAUGGGCGAAAGCCUGACGCAGCCAUGCCGCGUGAAUGAUGAAGGUCUUAGGAUUGUAAAAUUCUUUUACCAGGUACGAUAAUGACGGUACCUGGAGAAAAAGCCCCGGCUAACUUCGUGCCAGCCGCCGCCGUAAAAC